rnacentral:rRNA from 1 species
GAUCUGGCUCAGGAUGAACGCUGGCGGCGUGCCUAACACAUGCAAGUCGAACGGAGCUGCUUUGAUGAAGUUUUCGGAUGGAUUUAAAACAGCUUAGUGGCGGACGGGUGAGUAACGCGUGGGUAACCUGCCUCACACUGGGGGAUAACAGUUAGAAAUAGCUGCUAAUACCGCAUAAGCGCACGGUUCCGCAUGGAACAGUGUAAGUAAAACGUCGGUGGUGUGAGAGUCGGACCCGCCGU